rnacentral:rRNA from 1 species
GACGAACGCUGGCGGCGUGCUUAACGCAUGCAAGUCGAACGGAAAGGCCCUGCUUUUGUGGGGUGCUCGAGUGGCGAACGGGUGAGUAACACGUGAGUAACCUGCCCUUGACUUUGGGAUAACUUCAGGAAACUGGGGCUAAUACCGGAUAGGAGCUCCUGCUGCAUGGUGGGGGUUGGAAAGUUUCGGCGGUUGGGGAUGGACUCGCGGCUUAUCAGCUUGUUGGUGGGGUAGUGGCUUACCAAGGCUUUGACGGGUAGCCGGCCUGAGAGGGUGACCGGCCACAUUGGGACUGAGAUACGGACCAGACUCCUACGGGAGGCAGCAGUGGGGAAUAUUGCGCAAUGGGCGGAAGCCUGAUGCAGCAACGCCGCGUGCGGGAUGACGGCCUUCGGGUUGUAAACCGCUUUCGCCUGUGACGAAGCGUGAGUGACGGUAAUGGGUAAAGAAGCACCGGCUAACUACGUG